CCCUAAUUCCUUAUUAUUUUCCUUCCCCUUCGCGCGAGAGCUUCCUUCGUCCCGAGCCUCACCAGCGACCGGCGAUCAUUCUCUUCCCCUCUCGGUGUCGCCGGCGCAAGCAACCACCGGAGCUUUAAAGGGGAAACAAGUGGCUAGUUCUUCUUCCUCGCCUCUCGGUUUCCUCUCUCCCGAUUGCUCUCUCUCGAGGACGACCCAACGUCGACGGAGGACGACUCUUCCUCGGUGGUCUCGGCUUCCUUGCGUCGAUUGAGGACCAUCACCGGAAUCUCGAAGGAGUUGACGCUGUCCAAGCCUUCUCCAGUGGACCGAUCGCUUCCUCGACAGUUUCUUGCGGGUGAUCGACGAUGAUCCGGCGGAGCUAGGGCACGGCGAGGAGAAAUUGAUUUGUAUCCUUCUCGGCCAAUUGAGCUCCUUUCGCUUCUCCUCUUCAAUCUACUCGCUGGAGGGCGAACUAGAUCAUCACCAGUUGGAGUGGAUCGCACGACACCAUUGGAGGCGAUCGGUUAAGAGGGAGGCUUUGGAUUCACAUUGUGGUGGACUGUGCCUUUGCUGUUCGCUGACCUUCUCCAAUUCUUGCGGCUGGGUUCUGUGGAAGCUGUCGGAUGAGGAGCUUCCGGACAAUGGCUGGCUAGUUGUUGGCUACGGGAUUUGCUGCCAUCUCUCAAGGACUUGGAUUCGCGACGAGCGUCUGGACGUGGGAUUUGUGGACACGAUCUAUGUAUUAAGGCAGGUAGCUUGUAGAUGGUUGGUGUCGCUCGGAGUAUCCUGUCUGCCGGGUCCUAUGUCACAUCC